GACGUAGGGCGCGAGCGUUGUCCGGAUUUAUUGGGCGUAAAGAGCUCGUAGGCGGCUUGUCGCGUCGACUGUGAAAACCCGCGGCUCAACCGCGGGCCUGCAGCCGAUACGGGCAGGCUAGAGUUCGGUAGGGGAGACUGGAAUUCCUGGUGUAGCGGUGAAAUGCGCAGAUAUCAGGAGGAACACCGGUGGCGAAGGCGGUCUCUGGGCGAUUACUGACGCUGAGGAGCGAAAG
rnacentral:rRNA from 1 species